UGCCCCUUUUAUAUUGUCCUACU
rnacentral:miRNA from 1 species